CUCCCCAUUCAAGUGUCAGCUCAAGGGUCACUUUCUCAGUGACCAUCCCAUCUAAAGACUCUCACUCUCAGCCCUGGUUAUCCUCCAUUCUGUUUAUAUCCUUCAUACCAUCUCCUUCUUGGGUCAUGGGUUUAUGCUCUGUGGAUGCCCUCUCCAGAAUGCAAGCUCCAAGAGGACUUUUACUUUGUCUGCCUUCUUGUCACCCCCUAAUGGGUGAUGGUGGGUGAAUGGGAAAGCACUGGGGGUGAGGGGGGCUCCUUACGGCCUUGCAUCUCCCCCCCGCCAUUACGAACUCAGUGUUGGCUUUAUCUCGGGGCGGUGGUUCUCAAGUCAGCUGGAGGGCUGGUGAAAACAUGGAUUGCUGUGGCCCUCCCUCAGAGUGUGUAUCUCUAACAAGUUCCCAGAUGGUGCUCACCCUGCUGGCCCAAGGACCACCCCCGGAGAAGAAGAUGCUGUUACUGGCCAAGCCAGGCCCACGCCACUGUUGCAAUAGGUGGCUGUCUGGGAGCUGCUGCUUCACAGUGGCUUCCCACUCAAGGUGAAGCUUUAUCCUCCCUGCGUCUCCGACGUAGAUCUACAGCAGGGUGAAGAAAACCUAAUUCCUACUUUUGGCCAGAGAUUAUAGUUGGAUCAGCUUGCAGGAAACCUGAGUGCAGAGUUUUGGUGGGGCGCUUUCAGUUCCCCCACCCCACUCACCCUGCUGGAGCCACCUUGUCCUGGCAAAGUUUUAGGGCACAGAGCAGGAAGCGGACAGCACAGUGGGACAGGGACUGGCUCAAGCGACUUUCAAGGUGGGGAUAGAGCCAGUCCGCACUCUUAGCCAGCCAUGGGGGCCGGACCCUGAACACCCAGCCCUGCCACCCUCCUGGCCACUGGACACCAUCAAACACUUGGAGAACUGGGAACCAUGUUGAGUUGAAUUAAACCUUGAACAUGAUAUAAACCA